UCGGAAUUUUACAUUAAACAAAUAAGAAAGAAUAUCAUGAAAAAAAAACAUUUAAACAAAAUGAGUUACGCGAAAAAUUAGUGCAAAAAAAUAAAUCAAUGCGAAUGAAAUAUGUACAUAUACAUAUAUCUUUUGGUUAUGGAAAAACCUGCAAAGCCGGAGCAUCAAGGGCUAUAGCGAUAAAAUCAAAUCCAAUUGAAAAUAUGGAAACUUCAAAUUCGCGUAACAAAUAAAAAAUGUCGUUUGUGGCAAACCUUCAAGUAUCAUAUAUUUCUGCCAUGAAACAGCUCCGCAUAAAAAGCCGUUUGGAGUCGACUUAAAACUGUAGGGGUCCCUCCAUUUGUGGAACAACAUCAAGACGCACACCACAACUAGGAGGAGGAGCUCACUCAAAUACCUAGUAGUCACGACAAAGUGCUCUCUUCUUCCACUUGAAUCUGAAUACAUACAUAU